GUGGAUUAGAUACCCCAGUAGUCCACGCCCUAAACUAUGUCAACUGGUUGUUGGGAGAGUUAAAUCUCUUAGUAACGAAGCUAACGCGUGAAGUUGACCGCCUGGGGAGUACGGCCGCAAGGUUAAAACUCAAAGGAAUUGACGGGGACCCGCACAAGCGGUGGAUUAUGUGGAUUAAUUCGAUGCAACGCGAAAAACCUUACCUACCCUUGACAUGCCAGGAACCUCGCAGAGAUGUGAGGGUGCCCGAAAGGGAAUCUGGACACAGGUGCUGCACGGCUGUCGACAACU
rnacentral:rRNA from 1 species